rnacentral:rRNA from 1 species
GAUGAACGCUGGCGGCGUGCCUAAUACAUGCAAGUCGAGCGAACGGACGAGAAGCUUGCUUCUCUGAUGUUAGCGGCGGACGGGUGAGUAACACGUGGAUAACCUACCUAUAAGACUGGGAUAACUUCGGGAAACCGGAGCUAAUACCGGAUAAUAUUUUGAACCGCAUGGUUCAAAAGUGAAAGACGGUCCUGCUGUCACUUAUAGAUGGAUCCGCGCUGCAUUAGCUAGUUGGUAAGGUAACGGCUUACCAAGGCAACGAUGCAUAGCCGACCUGAGAGGGUGAUCGGCCACACUGGAACUGAGACACGGUCCAGACUCCUACGGGAGGCAGCAGUAGGGAAUCUUCCGCAAUGGGCAAAAGCCUGACGGAGCAACGCCGCGUGAGUGAUGAAGGUCUUCGGAUCGUAAAACUCUGUUAUUAGGGAAGAACAUAUGUGUAAGUAACUGUGCACAUCUUGACGGUACCUAAUCAGAAAGCCACGGCUAACUACGUG